GUGGGGUCCUGAGCAAUGCCUGGCACUGUGUCCCUGUCACUGUCACCCGCUCAGGGACAUCAGGGACAUCAAGGAGCCCUGGAGAUCAAUGGGAUCUGUGGAUCCUAAAGGGUUCCAUGGCCCCAAAACGUCCUGCAGACCCCAAAGAGUCCUGCAGACCCCAAAAUGUCCUGCAGACCCCAAAAUGUCCUAUGGACCCCAUUGGGUUCCAUGGCCCCAAUUGGUCUGCAGACCCCAAAAUGUCCUGCAGACCCCAAUGGGUCAUACAGACCCCAAUGGUUCUGCAGACCCCAAAACAUCCUACAGACCCCAAAGUGUCCUGUAGAUCCCAAUGGGUUCCAUGGCCCCAAUGGGCCCUGCAGACCCCAAAUCAUCCCACAGAUCCCAGAGCCCUGCAGACCCCAAUGGGUUCCAUGGCCCCAAAGUGUCCUAUGGACCCCAAUGGGUUCUACACACCCCAAUGGUCCAAUGGACCCCAAAAUAUUCUACAGACCCCAAAAUGUCCUGCAGACCCCAAUGGGUUCUGCAGGCCCCCAGCUCCUAUUGACCCCAAAAGCUUCCACGGACCCCAAAAGGAUUUUAUGCCUCCCCCAAAGGAUUUUAUGCCCCCCCACAAAGGAUUUUAUGGCCCCCCUCAAAGGGUUCUGGAGACCCCAAAAGGGUUUUAUGGACCCCAAAGGGUUUUAUGGACUCUAAAGGAUUUAAUGGACCCCAAAGGGUUCUGGAGACCCCAAAAGGGUUUUAUGGACUCUAAAGGGUUUUAUGGACACCAAAGGGUUCUGGAGACCCCAAAAGGAUUUUAUGGACCCCCCAAAGGGUUUUAUGGACUCCAAAGGGUUUUAUGGACCCCAGAGGGUUUUAUGGACCCCAAAAAGUUCUGGUGACCCCAAAGAUUUCGAUGGCCCCGAAGGAUUCUGCAGGUUCCUCACAGCUC
rnacentral:lncRNA from 1 species